rnacentral:lncRNA from 1 species
CUACCAGGUUUGGCCAUUGAACCCUGUGCCCAUGUCACCCUUGGAAGUCACAAGGUAAAGAGCCAGAGCCUUUGUCAGCUAGAAGAAGACACUCUUCUGAAUACUGAAGUCGUGGCUGUGGAUAUGAUGAGAUUCUUCCCUGAGAAGGUUUUUGUUCCAGAAGCUCAACCCUAGGUGGUGAUGUGGAGAGGCAAUGAGGUCACUAAGAGACAGCGCCUCAUGGUAAGUGGGUCACUGAUGGCCCUGCUUCAGAAAAGAUUAGUACUCAUCUCAAGGAAUGCAUCCGUUCUUCCAAGAAUGAGUUGCUAUAAAAGGACCCUGCCUGCUCCUGCGUCCAUUGGCUUCCUAUUUUGCGUUGCAUGUAGGUGUCAUUGUGAUGCCACUCACCAUGAGGUCAUCACUGGAGACUCAAUUAAUAGGCCACUCAGUCUUGGCCUCUUAGAAGCAGAGACUGAGUUAAUAAACACCCUCCUGUA